UACGUAGGGGGCAAGCGUUGUCCGGAAUCAUUGGGCGUAAAGAGCGCGUAGGCGGCCCUGUAAGUCCGCUGUGAAAGUCAAGGGCUCAACCCUUGGAUGCCGGUGGAUACUGCAGGGCUAGAGUCCGGAAGAGGCGAAUGGAAUUCCUGGUGUAGCGGUGAAAUGCGCAGAUAUCAGGAGGAACACCGAUGGCGAAGGCAGCUCGCUGGGACGGUACUGACGCUGAGGCGCGAAAGCGUGGGAAGCAAACAGG
rnacentral:rRNA from 1 species